rnacentral:other from 1 species
CCGCCCCUGUGGUACGCGUGAUAGGUGAAUUUUUUUUGAGCCAACACCUUUGCCAAUGGCGGUUCCCUUCAUCCCGGUGUGCAUGCCCUGCUUGCAGGGAAGCCUUAAGGGGUGAACAACAGCCAUAACUGGAUUCAAAGGUUCAAAAGAAGCGGCUACACGGUAAUCAUGGGGGCGUG